rnacentral:rRNA from 1 species
AUACGGAGGGUGCAAGCGUUAUCCGGAUUCAUUGGGUUUAAAGGGUGCGCAGGCGGACUUGUAAGUCAGUGGUGAAAUCCCGGGGCUCAACCUCGGAACUGCCAUUGAUACUGCAAGUCUAGAGUUUGGUUGAAGUGGGCGGAAUGUAGCAUGUAGCGGUGAAAUGCAUAGAUAUGCUACAGAACACCGAUCGCGAAGGCAGCUCACUAAACCAACACUGACGCUCAGGCACGAAAGCGUGGGGAGCGAACAGGAUUAGAAACCCGGGUAGUCC